GGAGCAAAACUCAAAAAAUAAGUCUCAGUUCGGAUUGAAGGCUGAAAUUCGCCUUCAUGAAGCCGGAAUUGCUAGUAAUGGCAGGUCAGCAUACUGCCGUGAAUACGUUCCCGGGCCUUGUACACACCGCCCGUCACACCAUGAGAGUUGGGAAUACCCGAAGCCUGUGAGCUAACUUUUAGAGGCAGCAGUCGAAGGUAGAAUCAAUGAUUGGGGUGAAGUCGUAACAAGGUAGC
rnacentral:rRNA from 1 species